CACGUAGGGGCCAAGCGUUGUCCGGAUUUAUUGGGCGUAAAGAGCUCGUAGGCGGUUGGGUAAGUCGGGUGUGAAAACUCUGGGCUCAACUCAGAGACGCCACCCGAUACUGCUCUGACUUGAGUCCGGUAGGGGAGUGGGGAAUUCCUGGUGUAGCGGUGAAAUGCGCAGAUAUCAGGAGGAACACCAAUAGCGAAGGCAGCUCGCUGGGACGUGACUGACACUAAGGCGCGAAAGCGUGGGGAGCGAACAGG
rnacentral:rRNA from 1 species